rnacentral:lncRNA from 1 species
ACAAGAGAGCAGAUAUUCCUCUGUGUCCUUAGGCAUGGCAUAGCCUUUAUAGACACUCACAGGGGGAUCACAUAUCUGCCAGGAACAGCGAGCGGCAGAAAACAACUGAUUAACUCAUUGCAAAUGAACAUCUUCACAGGGAAAACAAUCUCAGAAGCAUCAUGCAAACGGCCAUUAAGUUCAAUCACUCCAUACAAUAUGAUCUCAAAGAUGCCAGUUGAGUGAACGUCUUCACAGGGAGAACAAUCUCAGAAGCAUCAUGCAGACGGCCAUUAAGUUCAAUCACUCCAUAAAGUGGCACGAAGAUGAUAAAAAUAUGAAAAAGCACGUGUACAGAAUAUGGAAAAAUAAAGAGCGAACUAUCCUGAUAUUGCAGGGAGAAAGUGAGAGACAUAUUGUUUCAUUGUCAUACUCAGGAGGGAAUUCCAAGACUGUUAUCAAAGUCAUCCAAACACACUUAGCUGAAGUUUUGGUAAUAAAUGUAGGUUAAUCAUGGAUAAACAAGGUUCUAGUACAGAAACGACUAUUGCAUAUUAUUCAUCAAAUAAGAAAGAAGCACUAGUUUCAGAAUAGCAUUGCAUUUAUAGAUAUAUUCUCUGCAUAACAAUCCUCCGAGGAUCCAUCUUGAGUCUGGCAAGAAAAAAAAUAAUAGAUACAUUCAAUAAAGGUCAAUAAAUAAGAAAAAAAU